rnacentral:rRNA from 1 species
AUUGAACGCUGGCGGCAUGCCUUACACAUGCAAGUCGAACGGUAACAGGUCUUCGGAUGCUGACGAGUGGCGAACGGGUGAGUAAUACAUCGGAACGUGCCCAGUAAUGGGGGAUAGCCCGGCGAAAGCCGGAUUAAUACCGCAUACGCCCUGAGGGGGAAAGUGGGGGACCGCAAGGCCUCACGUUAUUGGAGCGGCCGAUGGCUGAUUAGCUAGUUGGUAGGGUAAAGGCCUACCAAGGCGACGAUCAGUAGCUGGUCUGAGAGGACGAUCAGCCACACUGGGACUGAGACACGGCCCAGACUCCUACGGGAGGCAGCAGUGGGGAAUUUUGGACAAUGGGGGAAACCCUGAUCCAGCAAUGCCGCGUGUGCGAAGAAGGCCUUCGGGUUGUAAAGCACUUUUGUCAGGGAAGAAAUCCCUUGGGCUAAUACCCUAGGGGGAUGACGGUACCUGAAGAAUAAGCACCGGCUAACUACGUGCCAGCAGCCGCCGUAAAAC